CACCGCGGUUAUACGAGAGGCCCUAGCUGACAGACCCCCGGCGUAAAGGGUGGUUAAUAAUUUAACAAACUAAAGCCGAAUUUUUUCAAAACUGUUAUACGCUCUUGAAAAAUAGAAGUCCACCUACGAAAGUGGCUUUAUAAAAUUGAACCCACGAAAGCUAAGAAA
rnacentral:rRNA from 1 species